AUCUCUUAAAAGUGGAAUUAUCUUCUUUGGAUUGUAGUGGAACUCCCCCCUCAAUGAAGGUUCUCAGGUGAAGGAUAUGACUGCCCAUAUAAUGAAUAGAACAUAGUUGGGAUUCUUAUUCAAAAGUUUGGAUCACUGUAUCAGAUGGCUGCUGAGUUCCUUUUUACUCUAAAAGUUUGUGGCUCUGGGUAGCAGAAAAAAGGCUACACUUGGAGUCAAGGAAGAUUCCUCAUUAAGGAAUGAAAGGAAGUGACCUGGAAGUCUACAGACAAGGAUUUUGAUUAGGAAUAGUAAAGAUAAAAAAUAUAAAUUUCAAAGAAGGGAAGGUUACUUGGAAGUAGAAAUGGGAAGUAAGAAAUUAUCUUCUCAACCAGUGAGUUGUGUAUAUAAUGUUGUUGCAAGGUUUUUUUGUACAUAGUAACUAUAAGGUGAAUUUAAAUUAAUUUCCUUAGGUUUUGUUUCUGUAUAGUUAGAGUUGUGUUAUUCUGUAACUGUAAAUAUCUGUAUGAAAUGUGUAACUUGCAUUUUGCAAGAUGUUUUGCUUCCUUUCUUUUUAACUCUCUUCUCCCUGUUUCUAGUAUAGAAUAUAGAAUAAGUUUAGUUUGAAAGAUCCAUUUGGGCAGAAUAUUUCUCCCAAAAGGACCUCAGGAGGGAAUAUUGUUAUAAGGAAUUUUAUUUAUCUCACUCUGGCUCUUUAAGAGCAUAAUUCUUCUCAAUAGAACUCUGUCUCUUUAAGAGAAAACCAUAAAAGAGAGGAAGAGAGUCAGUUAGCAGCUCCAUUUUGCUCUGGCUUCAGUCUGAGAGGAGUUGGAAGGUACUGGUUCAGUUUUCUCUCUAUCAGGAGAAACUGACAGUGAAGAUUUUAAAGUUUGAUCUUAUGAUAUUGAGUUGGGAAGAAAUCAGUGACUGAGAGGUCUGUUCUUUUCAGAAUACACGGAGAAGCUAAACUGUCUGUUCACUGAGACAAGCAGUUUGACCAUUCUGGAGUUGAGGGAACAGGAGUUCUGGGACUGUUCAGUUUUGGCUCUCUGUCAAGAGGUCUCUCUGACAGUUGGCUUCUGGAAGUUUUGGAUUUCAGGUCAAGCCACCAGGCUAUGCCAGUCGACUACCAGACACUGUGCUAAGUAUGGGGGGAUACAAAGAAAGGUAAAAAUAAGUCAAUCUAUCAGUCCUGGCUAUCAAGGAGUCCAGAGCUUGAGGGAGACAAAACCUACAAACAACUAUGAGCAAACAAACUCCAUAUAGGAUAAAAUAAAGAAUACUCCAUUAAGCA
rnacentral:lncRNA from 1 species